rnacentral:misc_RNA from 1 species
AACACUGUUAACCUGCGGUACCUGCGGAGGGAUCAUUAACGAGUUAGGGUACUUCUCGUGCCCGACCUCCAACCCUUUGUCUACCCGACCAGAUGUUGCUUCGGCAGGCCCGCCGCCCCGCGAGGGGUGGCCGCCGGGGGUCCUUACCGGCCCCGGGUCCGCGCCUGUCGAUGGCCCUCUAUAAACUCUUGCUUAAAACGUGUCGUCUGAGUAAAACAAACAAAUAAAAACAAAACUUUC